UACGUAGGGGGCGAGCGUUGUCCGGAUUUAUUGGGCGUAAAGAGCGUGUAGGCGGCCAGGUAGGUCUGCUGUGAAAUCCCCGGGCUCAACCUGGGAAUGGCAGUGGAUACUGGAUCGCUAGAGUGUGAUAGAGGAUGGUGGAAUUCCCGGUGUAGCGGUGAAAUGCGUAGAGAUCGGGAGGAACAUCAGUGGCGAAGGCGGCCAUCUGGAUCAACACUGACGCUGAGGCACGAAAGCGUGGGGAGCAAACAGG
rnacentral:rRNA from 1 species